GGAGAGGUCGAGGUGAUCGCCGGCGGGGGCUCGCAAGGGUCCUCGCGGGAGGAAAGUCCGAGCUUCACAGGGCAGGGUGCUGGUUAACGGCCAGUCGAGGUAACUCGCAGGACAGUGCAACAGAAAGCAAACCGCCGGCGGCAACGCCGGUAAGGGUGAAAGGGUGCGGUAAGAGCGCACCGCUCCACUGGUGACAGGGGAGGCACGGCAAACCCCACCCGAAGCAAGACCAGACAGGGGUCGUGCGGCCCGCACGAUGACUCCGGGUUGGUCGCUCGAGCCCACCAGCAAUGGUGGGCCUAGAUGAAUGAUCGCCACGACACAGAACUCGGCUUAUCGACCUCUCCGCCG
rnacentral:RNase_P_RNA from 1 species